rnacentral:ncRNA from 1 species
GAAACCUCAUCUUGCAAGCGCCAUCCGGGCGCCAGAGCAGUAGCAGUGUUUUUUAUAAAACACGGACAUUCCGUCCGGGUGAGGAGAAAGA